rnacentral:lncRNA from 1 species
UUUUUUCUUUUUUCUUUUUCUUAUUCCAGUAGAGGGCACUCAAAGCUCAAAUAAAUGCAUGACAAUCAUUUUUACAGCGAUUGUUUUAUAUAAUUAAAGCUCAUAUUGAAGUGAAAAAGAGAAAAUCUGAUUUAAUGAGACUUAAUUACUAGUUACGCGUGUAAAUUUCACUAACAUGAAAUAAGAACCUAUAAGUGAUCACGUGAGAACAUGCCUCCCCAGACACUCUCGUUUCCUCUCUGCACACACUGAGAGUGGGAGGGAAAAUCUCUUGCCUAUGAGACAAGAUGGACUUUCUGAAUGCGCGUCCCCAAUGGACACCUGACCCUCGGGCUUCAUUUUCAUUCCCAUCUGACUUCUUUGAGACCCGGCUUAAAUAAUCUGGAAAUAAUCCUGGGGGCUAUGGACAAACAUCCCUCAGUGACAAUGGCCUGAGAAAGCACCAAUGGGACAGAAGUGACGAGGAGGAGAGGAAAUCCCUUGUUGGCGAAACUGUGCCACAAAUGAGGGAGGUGGCUCAGAGGGAGGUUGUCACCGCUGCGCACAGCCCACGAAGAGUUCUUAGGGAAGCUUCCAGAAGACCUCGUGUUUCGGAGAGCUGUGAAAAUCCAAGUAUCAUUUGUACUUGAGGGAAGACACUCUUCCAAGCACAAGAUUAGCCUUGUGUGGCUUUGGUUGCCAAUUUGGCCGGAUCGCAGUGGAAGAUGUGAACAGUGGUAACGCGGCUGUCAGUAUCUUGUCAAGGGUUCUCCUGGAGGAGUCAGACCCUGGGGUCAAGUGAUUCUGCAGCUAUGGUCGUUGCCACAAGCGGGUUGCCAUGAUCCAAGCACAGCAGCUUUUCCAAACACAGAGGACAUUUCGGUUUGGCUUCACAUCUCAUGUCAGAGUGAGGGUUACUUGCAGGCAGCGAACGGGAAUCGCUUCCAGUUUCCUGUAAUAAUGAUGACCUAUCAAUAUGAAUUAGCUUCUUAGGUAGUACGCAGGCUGCUUAAGGGGAAGAGAAGAUUCUUCCCCAAAAAGUCUUCUUGGCAGAGAUUGUGGACCUGGCAUUACAGAGAGUAUGUUACGGCUUUAUGACUUAUUUAUAACAGACUUUUUUUUUAAGGCACCGUUACAAGAUUCUGAGACUUUACGAUUUAAACAUCUCCGCUUCUCUGCCCCACCACCCUCACCAGACGCAGCCUUCCCAGUGCUCAUAAACUCUGGAUGCCGUAGUGCUGGGAUUCAGCCGUCGUUCAUUUGUGUCAACUCCCUUGAACUCAGGAUGCAAGUGCCAGGGGAGCAAAGGUCUGAGAAGCUAUGCAAAAUGGAAUUUUUUAAAAAGCACUUUCUCUUCGUCCUAAUAACACGACAGUACAAGAUAAAGGAUUUAGCGUGUAAGACCUCGAGGGUGUGCAAACAUCAAUAAUGAAAAUCAAACAGCUUUCAGCUCGCGGGGUUAAGUAUAGAAUAUGUAUUUAUGGCUUGAUUGUAAUUGUUGGGCACGUCUCUCCUUGCCAUAUAUGUUGACCUAUCAGGCGGCCGCGGGCCCGUUGUUUAUCCUUUUUCUCAGCUUCCUGACAUUGGCAUGAUUCAUAGUUGUAGGCGAUACACUACAAGGUUGCAUCUAGUUUCUAACCCUCUAGCUGAAGGUUUCCCUGUUACGUGGUUGGGCAAGCUAAAUAUUUUACGGAAAAUAACAUCAAAUUUGUACUAAAGGAAAAUCGUUCAAAUGAAAGGGAAUGCCAAAGGUCUUGACCCUGACCAGCCAGGCCCCACGUGGCAGUGCCGCAGAGUGGAAAACACACAGUGGUCCCGGCAGCAAGUGUGGCUUCUGUAACUUGUGCCAGCUACAACUUCUCUGCAGGUCUGUAAGUUCCUCCUUCUCCCAUCCAACCACCCAACCUCAAGAUUCUCUGCCCCUACGGAUGACUUUUGUAGCACCUAGGAUACGUUCUGCUGUGAGUGUGAGAACCAGAAGACCUAGCUAAAAAUAGCUUAAUAAAUAAAGGCCUGGGUGAUGACCUUACCUAACAGGAAGUCUGGCCACAGGGUAAUUCCAGCGACAUUCACUUGGUAGCUCAGUGAGGUCAGCUGGCCUGCACACAUCUUGUCUUCGGGCUCACAAGAUGACUACCAGCAGUAUCACAUCCUCACACGGUGACAUUCACAGAGAGGAACGAUCGUAGUUAGCCUGGACCAGUCAUCAUCUGUGCUCAGCCCAGAUGUGCCCAGGAGCACGAGGAGGGUGUGAACCAGGGGGGUGAAAGUGAUGGCCGGUGGGGGUUGCUUAGGCGAUGUGCGGUGUAGACAUGCACACAACACUCACUGGUAGGUUUCAGAGUGGUCUGAAGGCCCCGCAAGUACCCUAGAUGACAAAUAUCACCAUAACACAAUUCUGAUGGGUAGAGACCACCCUCCUUAUUUCGUAGUUUGAAAUUUUUCCUCUUUGGAACCUAUUCCCAGUUUGCUUAAAGCACUUGGGAGCACGCUAAAUUCCACAAGCAGCGUCUCUUAACCCUUCUGAAUUUAUUUGAAUCCUGAUCCCUCCGAAUAACUAAUAAGCAGCAUGGCACUCCAUGAGACAGAUGAUGGGGAACCUCCAUCAUUACUGCUUAUGCCUUACUAAGGGUGAUGGUGGUGGGAGGGAAGAAGGGUGCCACGUGGCUUCUAGAACUCAUCACGAUCAAGUUGUAAAACUUCAGACACUCAGUUUUUGCUGCCCUUAUGUUGCAUGAUUUCCUUCCAAAAAAAUCCAGAAUUUACCAGCUAUUACCCCUCUUGCCAUUUUCAGGGGACCUCGUCAAUUCAAGAUGGUGUUUUGUCUAUGACCAAUGUGAGGCUGGCUGCCCUUCUUUUGUGGGAAUGGUCACUCAGAUAACAUAAUUCAUGGCCAGGAGACAUGUUAUGUGCCUCCCACUCUGUCCUUUAAUCUCAGGCUUCAUUAUCCCAGUCUGAGAUCCUCCUGCUACUGGUGAUGGAGAGGAAAAUGGGGCUUCUCUGUUGGCAUGAAGCUGGGGUUCCUUCUCACCCUAGUCCCCCUGAACUGGGGCUGCAAUGUAGAGUUGGAAGAGCCAGACAUUCUAGAAGAACAACUGCAUUCAUAAAGUAUAAGAGCGCUGAGAUUCCAAACACCAGAGGGUGAAUCAGGAUGUUCUCAACAGUCAGAGCAACAGGUGGAGGUGGAUGUCAACUGGGAAAUGGAUCCCAAAAUUCAGUCAGGGCAGUGUGAGCAGGAGAAAGCACACGACGAUCAGGGGUACAGAGGGGGUGACAAGGGGACUGAGCAAUUGAUGGAUACACCAAUCAGCCAGCCUGGCUCAACCAGGAGCAGUUUGGGUAAAAUCGGUUUUCCAAAUCACUUACACCGCCCGUGUAUUGCGGCCUUGAGACUGUUAGUGAUGAAAAUGAGAACGCAUUUCUACAUUGGGGAGGGGAAAUUUUAUAGAGGUUGCUUUGGGAGCCAAAGCUAUUCAUCCUCAGUGUAAUGCGAGUUUCUGUCAGCAACCUUUCCUGAUAUUUUAACCUCAUCUGCUCAAGAUUCUUUCUAGAUUUGGGGAUAAUUACUCACAUGCCGUUAAACAUUAUGUUUGAGAGGAUCGCGCUGAUGUGGAAUUUCUGGUGUCUGCCUUCCUGUUAUUGCUACAGAUUUAGGUGUGCUCUCUUGCAGAGCAUCACCCACAAGUAGCCUUGUGUCACUAGGCAAAUGGGUUUGACUUCAGAUGAGAAUUUAGUCUACAGAUUCACAUCAUAUGGAACAAUUAAGCUGUUUUCUAUUAUGUGCUAGUCAGAACAUUUCAGCAGAUAUAUAUGUGUAUAAUAAUAUAUAAUUAUAUUUAAUUACAUCAUAUUUUAUAAAUAUAUACUUAAAAUAUAUAAAUAUUAUAUAUAUAUAUAUCAAUUUAGAGAAAGUUUGUGGCUUCAGCUAAUAGAAACUCUGACUAAUAGGGACUUAACCAAAGGUAAGCUUGUAUUUUUCGGCUAAUGCCUCUGGAGACAGAGCCUUUUUAUCUUUUUGCUCUCCCAUUCUCAGCAUGAUGGCUCAUUGCCUCAGUGUCACUGGACGGCCGCUCCAGCCCUAAUCAUCUCAUCUGUGCUCAAGACCAGAGGUAAAGGAAAUCACUCCCUUUAUCAGGAAAGGAUAGGCUUUAUUGGCCAGAAUUGAGUCAUAUGGACACCGGUAGCUGCAAAGAAAGCUGGAAAAGCAUGUUAUUGAUUCUUGCAGCCUUAACUGAGGAGGUGGCUGAAGGCAAACGGGGUUAGGGAAGGGCAUGGAGCCAACUAGCCAAGGAUGACCACCACACCUGCUAUAGUAAAGGUCCCAAGCAGGAAUGAUACUAAAACCUAAAGGCAAGCUCUUACUUAAAUGAAACUUUGUGCGACAUACCACAAUAGCCCUGAAAGAUAGGAGAAGCUUAAAAGUUCACAGAAUCAAACAGGCCGAAAGCUGGCAAGUAUGAAGGAUAGAAACAAUUUUUAAAAUCUAAGUUGUUUCUUUGCCUUCCUAUUUUUCUUUAGUUAAAACUGCCUGCAGUUUUAAAAUAUUUUAUUUAUUUAGUUGAGAGAGAGACAGAGAUAGCAACAGAGAGCAUGAACAGGGGAGGAGCGGGAGAAGCAGGCUCCCCACCGAGCAGGGAGGCUGAGUGGGGCUUGAUCCCAGGACGGCGAUCGUGACCUGAGCUGAAGGUAGACGCUCAACCCACUGAGCCACCCAGGCGCCCCAUGCCUACAUUUUCUAAAGGAAUUUCAGAAAUCUUUUAAAGGUGUAUAAAUGAUUACAGAAUAACACAAGUUAAAAUUGGAGCAAAGGAAUAAAGGCUGAUUAGCUGAACCUAUUACGGUGAUCAUUUCACAAUGAACGUAAAUCAAACCAUCACGUCAUAUGCCUUACACAUAUACAGUGAUAUUUUUUUUUGUCAAUUAUUUCUCAACAAAACUGGAAAAAAAAGUUUUUUUAAAAUAAAGUUGCAAGCAAAUUGGAAGCAGGAAUCUGACUAAAAAUGCACUCACUCCUCGUUGAGGUAAACAUAUAUUAGGGGUGGACCCCAAAUUUUCCUUUACUCUCUCUCUCUCUCUCUGAUCUUUUGCUUUAUGUUCCCCCUAAAAGAGACCCUGCUAGGUCUCCUUCAGUUGCAGGGGGAAUGAGCUCCUCUGGGUCCUGGAGCAAAAUCAGUGGGAAAGGCAGGCAUCCGUCCACAGUGACCUCCUCCCUCCUGAGUUAUGCAGCCACUUCUUGGGACUGAGGUAGGUCUCCAAGGCUGCUUGGCCAGUUAGAGUGUUUUUUCAGUGCUUCUCCUGUUAAGGGACAUUUGAUUACUAUUAUUAUUAUUCAGUUCAUAAGAGCUUUUAGUUACUUUCUUUCUUGGAUUAAAGGAGAAAAGAGAGAGACUUAGUCCCUGAGGCUUCCAAGUGUCAGGGCCUGGCUCUGUGUCUCCCUGUGGCUCCUCUCAUCUUCCUGCUGGCUGGAAGGAGUCAUGUGCUGUAGGUGGAGAGGGCGAGGUUCAGCCCCGUUGAGUUAUGUGACCAUGGUUUGGCCCAGUCAUCGGCAGAGCUAGGUUGGAGCUUGGAUCUGACUCUGAAGCCCAGGCCUGUCCAUUAUGCCACUUUAAAGGAACAGCAUGACUACAUGUAUUCAUAAACCUGAGGUCCACUGUCAGAGCAGGCCAUCAUCAGAGGCUCAGUCCUUCUCCACUGUUCUCUCUGCUUUCUGAAGGCUGUCUAGGAAGAUUCCUGUGCUUGGAAUUAGAAGGCUUGCUUAUCACUUUCUGCUCUUUUACUUAAUAGCUGUGUGACCUUGGGUAAUUCAUGGAAGCCUCCUGAAGCCGGGUUUAGUCAUCUACAGACCUAAGGCAAUGACAUGGCCCACUCCCCCACCCCUGUGGUCACCUCAAGGCAGGACUGGUGAGGGGGAGAGGUCGGCAUAAAACUCAAAUGACAGCCUCUGUGGUACAGACCUUGGAAAGAACAUAAGCUUCAGCCACAUUCCAUGCGUUGUCUUAGGUAUUCAUUACUGGAAUCUCAAGAUGUGGUUUCAGAGAAAAUACAUUACUUUUCCGACCCUGGUUCACUAGCUUAGGAGUCUCCAUGGAACACUCGGUAGACUGUUCCCUAGUGUGCACCAAUAGCAACAUCAGCAAUGUGGCCAUGUUGAGAGGUUGGGUUACUUGACAAUUCCUAAAGUGAAAAGAAGUGAACUCCUCCUAGCCUCUAUUACCUGCCGCGAGGGUAGUUACUCUAGAGAGGGAGGGCUUUUGGCUCCGACAUCUCAUAUGGCUGAUCCUACACACAGCUGUUAGAGCAGGAAUCAGCACUGGUGAAAUAAGCACAGGAACUGCUGGAUAAAAUAGAUCCUAACUGAUUGGCAUUUUCGUGCCUCCCUAAAACACGAACUGCCUGUAUACUGCACUUACAUCCAAGGACACGCACACUUGCGCUCCUCUAGGCGGGCUCACAUGCACAAACAUAUGCCAUUGCACCGGGAACCUCUGAAGAGAAUUCUUUGGGAAGAAGGUCGGCUUUGGAGAGCCAUCUAAAUAUCUUGCAGACCCUGUGGGGAUGGUAGCCACCAUGCAACCACAGAGUCAGGCAGUCUCUGGAUCCAGCCCUCUGGAUCCAUGGUCCUCUGACUCAGCAUUGUUUCAAAGAUUUAGAAAAAAAAAAAUAAGUGGAAAAAAUAUUUCCUAGUGAUGAAUAGAUGCAGAGCAAAAUCAGCUUCUACCUAGAAUCCAGGAAUAUAUUUUUGGAUCUGGUGACCUGGAAAGAAGACAUUUGAAGCAGGAUCCUCCCAGCAUGACUUCCAAACCAGCCUCACAGUUCAGGGAGUAUACGUGCACAGGACAAGCACCAGGCUGGCGCUCGAAAAGAAAAUGGAAACAUUCAAAGGAGGCAGUAGGAACAUUUUUUUGACUGUGCAGCCAAUCAAGCAAUGGAAUAAAUUACUUGGGAAAACAUUUGGGCCUCCCUAAAUAGAAACAUUCAGGAGAAAAGUGAGAUGGAACACACAUUCCCAUUGUCAUUAUUGAGCAGUGUUUAUUGAGUGUGGACAGGGUACGAGGUAGCUUUCCAAAUGCAGAGGCACCCCCAGUUCCUGUGGAAAAGUGUGGGGAAGAGCUGCAUGUUGGCAGCUCCCGGCUGUAGCAGAAGCCAUGACUCAUGAAGACCCUGUGGCUCCGUGGCAAGUUUACAAACUCUUG